CACGGACGGCGGGAUGGCCGACAGCAGCUCGGGGCCCAGCAGGGCCGCCGUCAGGAUGAAGAGCAACACCAGGGUGAUGAGCAGAGACCACAGCGACGCCUGCGGAGACACCGCGGCCCCGUCAGGUUUUUUCAGCGUACUUCCUGUAAUGCCCUCCCGUGUGGGAAAGGAGAGCCACAGUCAUCGAUGCGGCCAUUUAUUGAAUGCAGGGAGAACAGUAAAACAGUGAGCGCACUCGCACAGAAGCUGCUGUCAACCACAGCUCACGGCCAGAGACGCUCAUCCGCAUGAGCUGAUGUCGUGCGCCGCCCCGCAAGGCUCCGCCUCUUAGAGGCACACGUAUACCGCGUCCCGCGCUAUCAGCCGCUGACAUCGCGCACAGGAAAUAAAAGCGGCGGCGCGGCGCCAGGAGCGGAGGACGAGGAGGAAGACGGUGACUCAGGGCUGUCGUCAGCCUCCUCGAGCAGAGCCAUUAGAGUAAUGGCCGACUCCGGCCGGGUUCAAAACCCCGACUGGACCAUCCGCCAACAUCCCCCGGACUCACGGCUGUGGUGUCCUUGAGCAAGACACUGAUACCCCGAAAUGCUCCCCGGGCGCUUCAGCUGCCCCCUGCUCCAGUGUGUUCCACUAACAUGUGUAUGUGUUCACUGUGAUG